GACGAACGCUGGCGGCGUGCUUAACACAUGCCAGUCGAACGGAAAGGCCCUGCUUUUGUGGGGUGCUCGAGUGGCGAACGGGUGAGUAACACGUGAGUAACCUGCCCUUUACUUUGGGAUAACUUCAGGAAACUGGGGCUAAUACCGGAUAGGAGCUCCUGCUGCAUGGUGGGGGUUGGAAAGUUUCGGCGGUUGGGGAUGGACUCGCGGCUUAUCAGCUUUUUUGUGGGGUAGUUGAUUACCAAGGCUUUGACGGGUAGCCUGCAUGAGAGGGUGACCGGCAAAAUUGGGACUGAGAUACGGCCCAGAAUGCAACGGGAGGCAGCAGUGGGGAAUAUUGCACAAUGGGAGGAAGCCUGAUGCAGCAACGCCGCGUGCGGGAUGACGGCCUUCGGGUUGUAAACCGCUUUCGACUGUGACGAAGCGUGAGUGACGGUAAUGGGUAAAGAAGCACCGGCUAACUACGUG
rnacentral:rRNA from 1 species